rnacentral:rRNA from 1 species
AGCGGCGGACGGGUGAGUAACGCGUGGGUAACCUGCCCUGUACACACGGAUAACAUACCGAAAGGUAUGCUAAUACGAGAUAAUAUGCUUUUAUCGCAUGGUAGAAGUAUCAAAGCUCCGGCGGUACAGGAUGGACCCGCGUCUGAUUAGCUAGUUGGUAAGGUAACGGCUUACCAAGGCGACGAUCAGUAGCCGACCUGAGAGGGUGAUCGGCCACAUCGGAACUGAGACACGGUCCAAACUCCUACGGGAGGCAGCAGUGGGGAAUAUUGCACAAUGGGCGAAAGCCUGAUGCAGCAACGCCGCGUGAGCGAUGAAGGCCUUCGGGUCGUAAAGCUCUGUCCUCAAGGAAGAUAAUGACGGUACUUGAGGAGGAAGCCCCGGCUAACUACGUGCCAGCAGCCGCGGUAAUACGUAGGGGGCUAGCGUUAUCCGGAAUUACUGGGCGUAAAGGGUGCGUAGGUGGUUUCUUAAGUCAGAGGUGAAAGGCUACGGCUCAACCGUAGUAAGCCUUUGAAACUGGGAAACUUGAGUGCAGGAGAGGAGAGUGGAAUUCCUAGUGUAGCGGGUGAAAUGCGUAGAUCUUGGGAGGAACACCAGUUGCGAAGGCGGCUCUCUGGACUGUAACUGACACUGAGGCACGAAAGCGUGGGGAGCAAACAGGAUUAGAUACCCUGGUAGUCCACGUCCUCAACCAUGACACUAGCUGU